AACGCACAUUGCGCCCUGUGGUAUUCCGCGGGGCAUGCCUGUUCGAGCGUCAUUUCAACCCUCAAGCUCUGCUUGGUAUCGGGCCGCGCCGGCGACGGUGGGCCUCAGAAUCAGUGGCGGUGCUGUUUGGCUCUAAGCGUAGUAAUUCUUCUCGCUAUAGACGCCUGGCGGUCUCCAGCCAGCAACCCCCCAAUUUUCUAUGGUUGACCUCGGAUCAGGUAGGGAUACCCGCUGAACUUAA
rnacentral:misc_RNA from 1 species